rnacentral:rRNA from 1 species
UACUGAGUACUACACUCUCUACCCUUUGGGAACUAUUAUACCUGUUGCUUCGGCGGCGCCCGCAAGGGUGCCCGCCGGUCUCAUCAGAAUCUCUGUUUUCGAACCCGACGAUACUUCUGAGUGUUCUUAGCGAACUGUCAAAACUUUUAACAACGGAUCUCUUGGCUCCAGCAUCGAUGAAGAACGCAGCGAAACGCGAUAUGUAAUGUGAAUUGCAGAAUUCAGUGAAUCAUCGAAUCUUUGAACGCACAUGGCGCCUUCCAGUAUCCUGGGAGGCAUGCCUGUCCGAGCGUCGUUUCAACCCUCGAGCCCCUGUGGCCCGGCGUUGGGGAUCUGCCACGGCAGGCCUCUAAAACCAGUGGCGGACCCGAAGGGCCCUCUCCUUUGCGCAGUAGCAUUCGCCUCGCAUUGGGAGUCCUCGGCGUCCUGCCUCUAAACCCCCCACAAGCCCGCUUCGGCGGCACCAAGGUUGACCUCGGAUCAGGUAGGAAUACCC